rnacentral:rRNA from 1 species
AAAGGAAUUGACGGGGGCCCGCACAAGCAGUGGAGUAUGUGGUUUAAUUCGAAGCAACGCGAAGAACCUUACCAGGGCUUGACAUGCAUUGGAAUACUUAAGAGAUUAAGUAGCCCUUCGGGGCCGAUGCACAGGUGGUGCAUGGUUGUCGUCAGCUCGUGUCGUGAGAUGUUGGGUUAAGUCCCGCAACGAGCGCAACCCCUAUUAUUAGUUGCCAGCAAGUUAAGUUGGGCACUCUAGUGAGACUGCCGGCGAUAAGUCGGAGGAAGGUGGGGAUGACGUCAAAUCAUCAUGCUCUUUAUGUCCUGGGCUACACACGUACUACAAUGGCAAGUACAGAGGGAAGCUAAACCGCAAGGUGGAGCAAAACCUAAAAAAGUUGUCUCAGUUCAGAUUGCAGUCUGAAAUUCGACUGUAUGAAGAUGGAAUUGCUAGUAAUUGCAGGUCAGCAUACUGCAGUGAAUACGUUCUCGGGCCUUGUACACACCGCCCGU